UGGGGAAUUUUGGACAAUGGGCGAAAGCCUGAUCCAGCCAUGUCGCGUGAGUGAAGAAGGCCUUCGGGUUGUAAAUCUCUUUCAGGUGGAAAGAAAACGCCUAGGUUAAUACCUUGUGUGGAUGACGGUACCAUCAGAAGAAGCUCCGGCUAACUACGUGCCAGCAGCCGCGGUAAUACGUCGGGCGCGAGCGUUAAUCGGAAUUACUGGGCGUAAAGCGUGCGCAGGCGGUUAUGUAAGACAGAUGUGAAAUCCCCGGGCUCAACCUGGGAACUGCGUUUGUGACUGCAUAACUAGAGUACGGCAGAGGGGGGUGGAAUUCCGGGUGUAGCAGUGAAAUGCGUAGAUAUGCGGAGGAGCACCGAUGGCGAAGGCAGCGUCCUGGGCCAGUACUGACGCUCAUGCACGAAAGCGUGGGGAGCAAACA
rnacentral:rRNA from 1 species